rnacentral:rRNA from 1 species
UACGAAGGGGGCUAGCGUUGCUCGGAAUCACUGGGCGUAAAGCGCACGUAGGCGGCUUUCUAAGUCAGGGGUGAAAUCCUGGAGCUCAACUCCAGAACUGCCUUUGAUACUGGAGAGCUCGAGUCCGGAAGAGGUGAGUGGAACUCCGAGUGUAGAGGGUGAAAUUCGUAGAUAUUCGGAAGAACACCAGUGGCGAAGGCGGCUCACUGGUCCGGUACUGACGCUGAUGUGCGAAAGCGUGGGG